rnacentral:rRNA from 1 species
CAGCAGCCGCGGUAAUACGUAGGUGGCAAGCGUUAUCCGGAAUUAUUGGGCGUAAAGCGCGCGUAGGUGGUUUUUUAAGUCUGAUGUGAAAGCCCACGGCUCAACCGUGGAGGGUCAUUGGAAACUGGAAAACUUGAGUGCAGAAGAGGAAAGUGGAAUUCCAUGUGUAGCGGUGAAAUGCGUAGAGAUAUGGAGGAACACCAGUGGCGAAGGCGACUUUCUGGUCUGUAACUGACACUGAGGCGCGAAAGCGUGGGGAGCAAACAGGAUUAGAUACCCUGGUAGUCCACGCCGUAAACGAUGAGUGCUAAGUGUUAGGGGGUUUCCGCCCCUCAGUGCCGCAGCUAACGCAUUAAGCACUCCGCCUG